AGACAGGAGGUAUUGUUUUAUAUUAGUCAGUGGUCUAACAGACAGUAUUAGGAGGAAUUGUUUUAUAUUAGUCAGUGUUCUAACAGACAGGAGGUAUUGUUUUAUAUUAGUCAGUGGUCUAACAGACAGGAGGAAUUGUUUUAUAUUAGUCAGUGGUCUAACAGACAGGAGGAAUUGUUUUAUAUUAGUCAGUGGUCUAACAGACAGGAGGUAUUGUUUUAUAUUAGUCAGUGGUCUAACAGACAGUAUUAGGAGGAAUUGUUUUAUAUUAGUCAGUGGUCUAACAGACAGGAGGAAUUGUUUUAUAUUAGUCAGUGGUCUAACAGACAGGAGGAAUUGUUUUAUAUUAGUCAGUGGUCUAACAGACAGGAGGAAUUGUUUUAUAUUAGUCAGUGGUCUAACAGACAGGAGGAAUUGUUUUAUAUUAGUCAGUGGUCUAACAGACAGUAUUAGGAGGAAUUGUUUUAUAUUAGUCAGUGGUCUAACAGACAGUAUUAGGAGGAAUUGUUUU